UACGGAGGGUGCGAGCGUUAAUCGGAAUUACUGGGCGUAAAGGGCACGCAGGCGGGCUUUUAAGUCAGAUGUGAAAUCCCCGGGCUGAACCUGGGAAUUGCAUUUGAGACUGGUAGUCUUGAGUAUGGUAGAGGGGGGUAGAAUUCCAGGUGUAGCGGUGAAAUGCGUAGAGAUGUGGAGGAACACCGAUGGCGAAGGCAGCCCACUGGGAGAGUACUGACGCUGAGGUGCGAAAGCGUGGGGAGCAAACAGG
rnacentral:rRNA from 1 species